CGUCCCCUCGGUCUCCCGGUUCUCACUGCGAGACCAGCACGCGGGAGCCGUGGCUCGCAACCCCUGGAGUUGUAGGCCCAGGCGUUUCAGCCUCCGCAGCUCAGCUGUGGGAAGGAAGGGGCACAGCGUGGAGGGCGGACUGGCCGGUGUCCUCGCGGCCAGGUCGAGCUGGGGCCCCGGGAGGAGGCGGGAAGCCCGACUGCUCGCCGCCUCUCGCUGCCCAGGGUCGAUGCCAGGCUCUGGCCCGGGGGCCCGCAGCUCCCAGCCUUUCUCGGCCACGACUGCAGGUCCCUGGGCCAUGGCUGGAUACGCAGAAGUUCACAGGAGCAGGUGGAGUUGGGGCAGUUGGCCCAAGAGAACCUGUCUCACGCCCUCCAGGAGGACUCCAAAGCAAGAUACUGAGAGAUUCACCACCAGCGCCAGCCCCUGGAGCAGAGGCCUAAACAUCUCCAGUCUUUGCCUGAACCUGCUGUCACCAUGGAUUCCAGCAGAGCCUCCUCAGAGUGGAGACAGCCCCGGAAGACACAGCCACCUCACAGAGACCAAGCUGUCCCCACAGUGAGAAGGAUUUCACUGGAGCUGCAAACCAGACCGAGGCAGUGAUCAGCAGGCCCUGGCCUGCUCAGCACCCCUCUGUGGCGGGCUGCUCCUCUUCGGACAGGCCAGCCUGGCUUCCUUUGUCAGGAGCUGAAGUCCUCCCUCUGUUUGCUCUCACUCUCCUUUGUCAAGGGACCAUCUCAUCCUUGACUUUUCUCCCCCUCAAGCCAAAGUCCCUUCUUAUUCUCUGUAACUUUCCAAUUAAAGCUUGGCUGUAAAUCCCUGGUGUUGCCUCAGUGUUAAUUUCCAUGCUCACUGAAGGAGGACCCACACUAGCCAGCGACCUC
rnacentral:lncRNA from 1 species